GUUCUUUUACGACGGAACCUGAGUGCUCUCUUUGUUCGGCAGGGACAAUGGCGCCAUUGUUAGUAACGUCUGCAAAGCAGUUACAAGAAGAAACCAAGAUGAAGGGGAGCCCAAAGCAUCCGGGAGAAUUCGUAAAGAAAAGAGACUUGGUUAAAACGUAACCGCUUUAAAAGCAGUGAAUGCCGACCCAUUGAGAUGCCUGACACCUGUAAAGAUCCUGGAGCAGGAAUGCAUGGCCAGUGACAAGGCUGCAAUGAGAACUUGGUGUGGUAAACAUCCAGAAAAGGGAAAGACAAGAAGAAAGUGCACAGCAUUAGUACUGGGAUGUUUGAGAUGGGGUCUACAUGUCCCUGGCUGUCCCUGAUUAUCUGUCUAAUGAGCAGGACAGCAUCUGGUAUGGCCUGCAGAGUUGAGCCUUGUAUAUUUCUUGUGGGCUGUAUGUAAAUGAAUUGUUGUGACAAUCCAUGUAUAUGACACUCUUAUACAGACUGAACAGAGAAAGCAACCAUAGCUGUAAAGCAGCAAUUCAACAUUUUUGUGAUUGUAAAAUAGUUAUGGGCUAUUUCCUUACUCAUCUGACAGUGGUUACUUGCUGCAAUAAACAUUCAGUUGCAAAUA